GCUGGGCUCCCGGCCUUUCUCAUCUCAAUGGUUUGUGCUUGGUGCUCUUGUGAUGAAAUCAGGCAUAGGAGGAAAUGAGGACUGGAAAAGAGUAAGGUUUCACCAAAGGACCACUUGGGGGAAACCUGUGCUCUGACUCUUGUUUCCACGUGUGUGUUUCAGAUGGAAGAAUUGAGUCGAGUGUAAAAUCUCAAAAGAUCUGUGGUUUACUUGAGUGGUGUCUUCUUGGUCAUUUUUAUGGUUGCAAUUUGACUUAAGCAGGAGUUCAGUUGGUGAAGGUGGAUGAUUGAUGGAAGCAAAGGAGGCUGUGCCAACUGGUCCUUUACAAAGUGCAUUUUCAAAGCUAAGAAUAGCAAUAGAUGCUAAUCUUCAACUCUGAAAGGCAUUAAUAAGCACAGCAAGUUUAAAAGUGCUCCUGCAGGUCUAAUAAAGUGGGAAAGUUCUAACUGCCUGCAAACUUGGAGGAAUUUAUUAGACCGAUUCUACAAGUAGGAAUUAUAAUGAGUCAAAUUUCAAGUAAGUGUGAUUUCAGUCUCUUUGUGGAUGACACAGACAACAACCAUUCUCUCUGUGUCUUAUAAAUUGUGACUGUGUGUGUGUGUGUGUGUGUGUGUGUGUGUGUGUGUGUGUGUGGUGUAUACCUGUAAAAUGCAAGGUGAUUGAAUCUAUAUUCUUUGCUUUGAAAGGCACUGGACUGUGGUUGUAUUCAUAUUGCUUUAGGUAAGUGCCCAGAGUUUGUGUUUAUGAGUGAUCAGUGUUCUCCCUGUGUUGCAUUCUCGUCUUUGAGAGGAUCCAGUACAAGUUGGAAAAAAGCUGUCAGUAAAAUUGGCCUUUAGUUCAUACCGUGUUGUCAGAAUGGCCUAAUGGUCCUGAGGUACAGGAAUGCUGAGAAAUCUGUCCACAUCUUUUGCAUUACAAUGCAACAUCCCCAGGCAGUGCUGAGACUGAACAGCCUCCCAGUACCUAGUGACUGAUUUCUAUCUUACAUAAACACAUGCAGCUUAGUAAAUCAGUAAAUCAGCAGGGUAAAUUUCAAACAGGAAGCCAGCCAGCAUUGGCAGUGACAGUCUUUUCCCUGUCGUUUGAAAAACAAGAGAACAUAUACUGGAAACAGACCAGAAACUAAACUGCCAGAUUUUUUAUUCCCCUGGGCCAAUGUUAUGACUCUGCAGAAGGUGCUUGUACCCACACCUAAAGUUCUGGAUUAGAACUCCAGGUUCCAAAUGGUGGAAAGGAGAGAAUUGAUUCUGAAAGCUGUUCUCUGACCUCCACAUGUGUGCUAUAGUAUGUGUGUGCCUUAUUCCAAAGGAAUAAAGAAACAUAAUAAAGAAACAAAAAUCACCCCCCUUUCCAUGAACCUUCAGGUGGUUUGAUUUUCAGAAGACUUGUUCAUUUCAGUAGAGGAUGAAAUAUAGAUGUCUAUCUAGACAUUUGUGAGGACAUGUCUAUAGGACUUGAGUGAGCAGCACAUGCUGUGAUCUGGCUACAUGGAUGUUAUGUAGAGUACAGCUAGAGAUGUUUGGGGCCAAGGGCUCUCCCAGCUUAAGCAAAUCUUGUGUGGCAGACUUAUGAAAAAGGAAUGCUCACGUGAUCUGGAGCUUGCUGUAUUUGUGCUUACAUUUAACAGAACCUUGGCAGGGCGAGUGGGCUGUUGAUAUGUAUGCAGACUUCAGCUUUAUCUUAAGGUACACUAGGAUUUCAUCAAUGAACAGUUAUUACCAAAAGAGGUAGAGAAAGUAACAAAAUAAUGAUAGUUGUAGACUUAUUAUAAACAAAUCAGAAUAGACUGUGUUCCCGUGAAUAGAAGCCACGGGCUAUGAUAAGAAAGAAAAUGAGACAAGUGUAAUGUGAUGUGUGAUUUUCAUUUGUUGUCUAGAAUACUAUCAAAUCAGGUGGGUUAUGUUUUGUUUAUUUCUUUGCUUUGGGUGUGCAUGCAUGCAUGCAUGUAUGCUUGUGUGUUUAGUUUCAGUGUAAGUACAUACAGACCAGCAGAGAUUGCUGCAUUUUGUGGCUUACUGAACUUCAGUUGCUUGUAGUUUGGUGUGAUACAGAAAUGGUUUGUUUUUUCUGCUUUCUACUUUCAUAUAGUGGCAGAAUGCAUAGAAGGCUGUAAUUUUCAAAUUCCCAAGCAUACAAAUCCUGUUCCCAUCAAAGACUGAAACAGAACAUAUCCCAUUUUUGUCCUUAUCCAAACUGUAUGCUGUUUUGUUGAGUUUCCCAAUAGUGACUUAAGGGUAGAGCUGGAUGCAACCAUGCCACCAUGGUUCUUAUGAAGUGUAUUUAUUUCUACUUCUACAAAAAUAAUGUGCUUAUUUUGAUAUAGCGCAUAUUAAUUUACAGAUAAUGGUAUAGAUCCUUGGCUUGUCUUAAGUUUCUGUGGCUGUAAAUGCUGACUCAGUCCACCAUUACUAAACAGUUUUGUUCUCACCCCAUUCUGUAAGCUGUGGGAGUAAAUGCAUUAAUUAUCACAUGUAUAUUUUUGUGCUAAUGUAUUAAUAACAUUAAGAUGAGAAAAUCAUGAACCCAAAUAAUUAGAGAUUGAAAUCUUGGGAUAACACUCAUUUCUGAAUUCCAGAAAUAUCAUCCUACUUGUAGUACCCCAUUGGCAUCCAAAACAACCCAAAGGUGCCAGACUUACCAAGUGACAUGGAAUGCAGAUGGAGAUUGCAGAGGCCCACUGGGCACAAACUGAUGGAAAGGCCAGUCUUCCUGGGGGAUGGGUUGUGCUUUGCACAUGUAGAUAUUGUUGAGCUCAGAAGGAGCUCAGAAUGAGAUCGUUGUUUCCUAGAUAUGGUUAUAAAUGUAUGUGUUUAAUUAAUCUUUACACGUGUGAUUUGAAAAUGCCAGAGAAAUUGUGCACUUUUAAAAAGAUCUGAUAAGAGAAGAGUCUAUGUAUGAAGAAGACACCAGAGACUAAAGCUGGGAUCUUAAAACAGGUAGGGAUAGGAAGGAAAAGGGGUUUUCAAUGGCCCUAAGAAAGUGUUCAGUUAGCAAGGCCUUGUGUUGUUCUAUUUAGCUUCAGAACCAUCCUCGAGUGAAACUGUUCUUUAAAACUUCCAACACUGAUAGAUUGCCAUUAUAGUACACAUUGGGUCUAAUGAGUAGAGGCUCUUUCUCAAAAAAGAGGCAUGGUCUGAACGUGUCAGUUGGUAUUGCUGCUGUCCAUGUUAUUGGUAUAAAUUAUUCCGAAUUAUAAGGAGCCCAUAAACCUUCCAAAGGAAGCUGUUUUAUGCACCUUAGUUUGGGAGCAUUAAACUUUCUUUAUUAAGACAUUAAAAUUAAAUUCAAAUAUCUACUAAAGUUAGCUUAUGUGCCACAGGGAAAAUGGGAACUUUGCUAUAGAAUACAAGGGAACAUGGUAUUUUACAGAGAUUUUUAUAAUGGGUUGACACAUUCAUUCAACAAACGCAUAAAUGACUCCUUUGUGCUAGGUAUCACAUUUGGAAAGCAGGUGUGAACAGAGCAAAGCUCUCUGCUUUCCCAGGGCUUGUGCUCCAGAGGGAGAUGAUGGACAUCGUAACUGUGAGUGCUUUGAGCAUGAGUUAUUUCAGAUAACGAAGAGCCCAGAGUCAAGAUAGAAAACCCAAAGAAAGAGGAAGGAGGGAGUGCUAUUGAGUCCUGAAGACACAGGCACAUGAAAGGAUGACAGAUCAAAGACCUUCUUGAGGUACUAAAACGGUAAUCGUGCAACACUGAGAGGCAGUGAGCUGUUUUCUUCUUCAUGCACAAUUCACUGAUGAGCCUUGGUGAGAAUAUGGAAUGUUAUGUGCCUGGACCGGGUGUACUGUGGUGCUGUGCGACCUGGUUGAAUUCUCUAUGCAUACACUCUUUGUAUAGAUCUAAGUCCUUUACUGUUUAUGUGUAUAUGUGUGUGAAUAUAUGCACAUGAGUGCAGGUGCCUAUAGAAGUCAGAAGAAGGCUUUGAGUAACCUAAAGCUAAGGUGAGAGGUGGUGGGGAGCCACCCACUGUGAGUGCUGAGAAGUGAACUUGGAUCUGCAAGAGCGGCAAGCCCUAUUAUCCAUCAAGCCAUCUCUCCAGCCCCUCUACAUGUUUAAUGUAUAUUAAAGAAUGGGACUAGGGAGAUAAGUAGGUAUGUAAAGUGCUUGCUGUGGAAGGAGUGGGACCUGAGUUCUAUCCCCAGUACUCAUGUAAAAGCCAGGGAUGCCAACAUGUGCCUGCCAUCCUUCCUCAGUAGGGAUAAACACAGCUAGAUCCUGAGGGAUCGAUACUAUUUAAUGUAGCCAAACAGAAGGAAGGUAUCCGAAAUUCAACCUCCAGUCUUCACAUGUGUCUGCCAAAACACAGCAACACAUGCAUGUCACACACACACACACACACACACACACACACACACACACACACACACAGGUAAACAUGCUCAUACAAUUAGGGAAGUCUGCACAGCAAAGCAAAUAUUCAUUUGACUAGAGGGCCUUGGAGGUCUCUGCUGUGUUAACUUAUAGCAGGGUACAUUUUAUUUGUAUUUUUUAAAGAUAAAAUUAUAUGUGAAAUAAAUGAAUCCAUGGCUUUUUUUCAUCCCCGUUGGGUCCUUUCAGUAGGUCCCUGCCCUUCAUUUACCAAUUGGUACUGAAAGUGUAGUAAUUAAAAAACACAGUAAUACACUGUUGUGGGGUCAAACACAUAUCUAAGUCCCUGCAAUACCAGUGUCCCAUCCUUAGCUCCACAAGAGAAUGUAAUAUAACUGGAUAUAUCAGUAGCUGUGAAAAAAAAUCCACGCUGAAUGGGAAGUUAUAGGAAAAUAGUGUUUUUUCAUUUGUUUUGUCUUUAGCAUAUAGCUCCAGGAGAGGGGCAUUCCAUCUUGGUAGACAGGGAAUGACAAUUCUGGAAGCAGAGAGGUCACAUUUCAUGCACACACAGGAAGCAAAGGAAGAAAAAAAAAUGAGACCACUCUUUAAAACUGAAAUGCCCUUACUCAGGGAUGGACUUUCUCCAGCAAGGCUCCUUCCUCUGAAGAUUCCAGAACUUCCCCCAAUGAACUGGAGAGGUAGUGUUACAUAGGUGAGCCUAGGGGAGAUUUCUCAUUUAAACCACCAGAGGGAGCUUCUUCAAGGAUCUGCUUAUGAGGGCUCUGAGGAUGCAGUAAGAUCCAUUAAGGUCUUUUACAGCCUUAUCCUCAUGUCUAACCACAGCCUCGUUUAAACAAACUCUGCCUUGCUCUUUAAUUUAUUGAAUUUUACAUCUUCAUACAAGCAUAUCUGAUACGUUAGUGUGUUUCCUCCUAGACCCCACCCUUCUGAUUCUUGUUCCUCUUUCCCCCAUCACUCCCCUCUGUCACCUUGACAACUCCACAUCUGUUCAUCAUUUACAAACACUCAUGUGUAAUUUUACACAUCUGUAGAAAACCUUCUUCCUCGAAGUCAUAUGACAUAAAAAUGAGGUGAUAUCCAGGGAUACAGGACCUCAGAAAACAGUGGCCUUUCUAUUGUUCUUACUGCAUUUUGCUUUUUGUAGUAUGAUAUGCAUAUGCAAUCAUUCUUAAUAAAACGUAUGAUGUAAAACUUAUAAUCGUAUUUCUUAUAUACAAUUACUGUUAAAAGUUGGGUGUGUGCCUUUAUAAUGCUUAUAAAUUUUCAGAAACAGACUAUGUGUCUAAUACACACAAGCUUGUGUUAUGACUUGAUUUUUUUAAAAAAAAUGGUUGACCUAUAAAUGGUAUUUUGUAAUCUAUUUUCUUUGCUCAAUAUUUUGUUAAUAAGUUUCGAUGCCAAUAAAUAUUCUCUAAACAAA